rnacentral:rRNA from 1 species
CCGGCCGGACCGGGCGGGACGGGUGACGUAACGCGUAUGUAACCUUACCUUUGACGGAGGGGAUAACAUCGAGAAAUUGGUACUAAUACCCCAUAACAUCACCGGAGGCAUCUUCGGUGGUUGAAAACUCAGGUGGUCAGAGAUGGACAUGCGUUGUAUUAGCUAGUUGGUGAGGUAACGGCUCACCAAGGCGACGAUACAUAGGGGGACUGAGAGGUCAACCCCCCACAUUGGUACUGAGACACGGACCAAACUCCUACGGAAGGCAGCAG